rnacentral:rRNA from 1 species
UACGUAGGUGGCAAGCGUUGUCCGGAUUUACUGGGUGUAAAGGGCGUGCAGCCGGGCUGACAAGUCAGAUGUGAAAUCCCGCGGCUCAACCGCGGAACUGCAUUUGAAACUGGUAGACUUGAGUGCAGGAGAGGAGAGUGGAAUUCCAUGUGUAGCGGUGAAAUGCGUAGAUAUAUGGAGGAACACCGGUGGCGAAAGCGGCUCUCUGGCCUGUAACUGACACUGAGGCUCGAAAGCGUGGGGAGCAAACAGG